rnacentral:rRNA from 1 species
GACGAACCGUGCGAACGUUGUUCGGAAUCACUGGGCUUAAAGGGUGUGUAGGCGGUUUGUCAAGUCAGGGGUGAAAUCUUUCGGCUUAACCGGAAAAUAGCCCCUGAUACUGGCGGGCUAGAGGGCGAUAGAGGCAGCCGGAACUACCGGUGGAGCGGUGAAAUGCGUUGAUAUCGGUAGGAACGCCAGAGGCGCAAGCGGGCUGCUGGAUCUCUUCUGACGCUGAUACACGAAAGCUAGGGUAGCGAACGGG